GACGUAGGGCGCGAGCGUUGUCCGGAUUUAUUGGGCAGUAAAGAGCUCGUAGGCGGCUUGUCGCGUCGAAUGUGAAAACUCGGGGCUCAACUCCGAGCUUGCAUUCGAUACGGGCAGGCUAGAGUUCGGUAGGGGAGACUGGAAUUCCUGGUGUAGCGGUGAAAUGCGCAGAUAUCAGGAGGAACACCGGUGGCGAAGGCGGGUCUCUGGGCCGAUACUGACGCUGAGGAGCGAAAGCGUGGGGAGCGAACAGG
rnacentral:rRNA from 1 species